rnacentral:tRNA from 1 species
GAUUAUUUCAAUCGCUCACACGCUAUGGCACAGCACUCAUAAUGCUGGGGUCGGUGGUUCAAAUCCACCUAUCACCACCA